rnacentral:rRNA from 1 species
UACAGAGGUCCCGAGCGUUGUUCGGAUUCACUGGGCGUAAAGGGUGCGUAGGUGGUGGGGUAAGUCUGAUGUGAAAUCUCUGAGCUCAACUCAGAAAUUGCAUUAGAAACUACCUUGCUAGAGGAUUGGAGGGGGGACUGGAAUUCUCGGUGUAGCAGUGAAAUGCGUAGAUAUCGAGAGGAACACCAGUGGCGAAGGCGAGUCCCUGGACAAUACCUGACACUGAGGCACGAAAGCUAGGGGAGCAAACAGG